CGGGACGGGUGAGUAACGCGUGGGUAACCUGCCUCAUACAGGGGGAUAACAGUUAGAAAUGGCUGCUAAUACCGCAUAAGACCACAGUACUGCAUGGUACAGUGGUAAAAACUCCGGUGGUAUGAGAUGGACCCGCGUCUGAUUAGGUAGUUGGUGAGGUAACGGCCCACCAAGCCGACGAUCAGUAGCCGACCUGAGAGGGUGACCGGCCACACUGGUACUGAGACACGGACCAG
rnacentral:rRNA from 1 species